CAUAAUCAUUAGUUUUUUAAUUGAAAGCUUGUAUGAAUGGUUGAACAAAAGAAGUUCUGUCUCUUUUUUAAAAAUUGAAUUUAACUUUUAAGUGAAAAGGCUUAAAUUUUUUAAGGGGACGAUAAGACCCUAUAAAGCUUUAUAAUAAAAUAAUAAUUUUUGAAAUUAUUUAUAAAGAGAAAUGUAUUAUUUUUUUAUUUUGUUGGGGCGACACAGAUAAAAAUAAAAUUAACUGUCAGGGUAAAAUACAUAUAUUUAUGAAAUUUAAAAGAUCCUAAUUAAAGAUUUAAAGACAAAGUUACUUUAGGGAUAACAGCGUUAUUUCUUUUAAGAGUUCUUAUUGAAAAAGAAGUUUGCGACCUCGAUGUUGAAUUAAAAUAUCUUUACAGUGUAGCCGUUGUAAGAA
rnacentral:rRNA from 1 species